rnacentral:rRNA from 1 species
UACGUAGGGUGCGAGCGUUGUCCGGAAUUAUUGGGCGUAAAGGGCUCGUAGGCGGUCUGUUGCGUCAGGAGUGAAAACUCGGGGCUUAACCCCGAGCCUGCUUCUGAUACGGGCAGACUAGAGGUAUGCAGGGGAGAACGGAGUUCCUGGUGUAGCGGUGAAAUGCGCAGAUAUCAGGAGGAACACCGGUGGCGAAGGCGGUUCUCUGGGCAUUACCUGACGCUGAGGAGCGAAAGUGUGGGGAGCGAACAGG